CUUUGCUUGGUGGUGAGAGUGGCGCAUGGGUGAGUAAUGCGUGACCGACCUGCCCCAUACACCGGAAUAGCUCCUGGAAACGGGUGGUAAUGCCGGAUGCUCCAGUUGAUCGCAUGGUCUUCUGGGAAAGCUUUCGCGGUAUGGGAUGGGGUCGCGUCCUAUCAGCUUGACGGCGGGGUAACGGCCCACCGUGGCUUCGACGGGUAGCCGGCCUGAGAGGGCGACCGGCCACAUUGGGACUGAGAUACGGCCCAGACUCCUACGGGAGGCAGCAGUGGGGAAUAUUGCACAAUGGGCGCAAGCCUGAUGCAGCGACGCCGCGUGAGGGAUGGAGGCCUUCGGGUUGUAAACCUCUUUUAUCGGGGAGCAAGCGAGAGUGAGUUUACCCGUUGAAUAAGCACCGGCUAACUACGUGCCAGCAGCCGCGGUAAUACGUAGGGUGCAAGCGUUAUCCGGAAUUAUUGGGCGUAAAGGGCUCGUAGGCGGUUCGUCGCGUCCGGUGUGAAAGUCCAUCGCUUAACGGUGGAUCCGCGCCGGGUACGGGCGGGCUUGAGUGCGGUAGG
rnacentral:rRNA from 1 species